CCUACGGGUGGCAGCAGUGAGGACUAUUGGUCAAUGGACGAGAGUCUGAACCAGCCAAGUAGCGUGAAGGAUGACUGCCCUAUGGGUUGUAAACUUCUUUUAUAUGGGAAUAAAACGUUCCACGUGUGGGAUUUUGUAUGUACCAUAUGAAUAAGGAUCGGCUAACUCCGUGCCAGCAGCCGCGGUAAUACGGAGGAUCCGAGCGUUAUCCGGAUUUAUUGGGUUUAAAGGGAGCGUAGGUGGAUUGUUAAGUCAGUUGUGAAAGUUUGAGGCUCAAACGUAAAAUUGCAGUUGAAACUGGCAGUCUUGAGUACAGGAGAGGUGGGCGGAAUUCGUGGUGUAGCGGUGACAUGCGUAGAUAUCACGAAGAACUCCGAUUGCGAAGGCAGUUCACUGGACUGCAACUGACACUGAGGCUCGAAAGUGUGGGUAUCAAACAGGAUUAGAUACCCGAGUAGUC
rnacentral:rRNA from 1 species